GUUCCCGUCUCCUUCAUAGCAAAUUUCCGGAUCUCUCUGAGUGCCCGAGGGGCAUGCUUCUUCAAACCCACUCCAUGGAUGCGCUUGUGAAUGUUGAUGGUGUAGUCUCUGGUUACUACCUCACUGUCUCUUUUACACAUCUCGGAGCCC